UGCCUGAUCUGCAGACAAGAAGCCCCAAU
rnacentral:piRNA from 1 species